rnacentral:rRNA from 1 species
GAUGAACGCUGGCGGCGUGCCUAAUACAUGCAAGUCGAGCGAACAGACGAGGAGCUUGCUCCUCUGACGUUAGCGGCGGACGGGUGAGUAACACGUGGAUAACCUACCUAUAAGACUGGGAUAACUUCGGGAAACCGGAGCUAAUACCGGAUAAUAUAUUGAACCGCAUGGUUCAAUAGUGAAAGACGGUUUUGCUGUCACUUAUAGAUGGAUCCGCGCCGCAUUAGCUAGUUGGUAAGGUAACGGCUUACCAAGGCAACGAUGCGUAGCCGACCUGAGAGGCUGAUCGGCCACACUGGAACUGGGACACGGUCCAGACUCCUACGGGAGGCAGCAGUAGGGAAUCUUCCGCAAUGGGCGAAAGCCUGACGGAGCAACGCCGCGUGAGUGAUGAAGGUCUUCGUAUCGUAAAACUCUGUUAUUAGGUAAGAACAAAUGUGUAAGUAACUCUGCACGUCUUGACGGUACCUAAUCAGAAAGCCACGGCUAACUACGUG